rnacentral:rRNA from 1 species
AUGACAAAUCUGGUAUGGGUGAUAUUGUGGAAGCUGCACAUACCAAGCAAAAUUAAGAUUUUCUCUUGGCGAGCCUUACAUGGAAUUAUUUCAGGAGUAUGUAUUUUGAGCAACAGACACAUAAAGGUAUCGACACAAUGCCCAAUCUGUAAACUCGGUCCGGAGGAUACAAAGCAUCUGAUUUUUACCUGUAAACGAGCGAAGGAAGUGUGGAAAUCUUUGGGGCUAGAUGAGGUAAUUUCCAAUGCUCUGAAAUGUGAUCGAUCAGGGUCAGUGGUGCUUGAAGAUAUACUUCAUAGACCAUCAAGGAAAUCCCCUGUUCUAGGACACCUGGGUCUGCAAGAAACAAUUGUUGUCGGUGCAUGGUAUAUAUGGUGGGACCGCAGAGAAGCAGUAAAAGGAGAAAGAGUUAAACCUACGCCUACUUCAGCCUUUGCUAUAAAUGCCAUUGCUGCUAACCAUGCCCCCCCCGGCUGA